rnacentral:ncRNA from 1 species
GUGGACUUUUUGUGCGUGCGUUCGUACAUGCGGUGCUAUGUUGCUUGAAAGUGAGAGUUGGGAGAUAUUUGGCUCCGGCAGUUUUCGAGCCUAUGAUCGACCACGAACUCUUUGAGAGGUUCGAGUUGUAGCACAUCUGUUAGGACCCGAAAGAUGGUGGACUACGCCUAAGUAGGGUGAAGUCAGGCAAAAGCCUGAUGGAAGCUCGUCACGAUACUGACGUGCAAAUCGUUCGUGAAACUUGGGUAUAGGGGCGAGAGACUAAUCGAAUCAUCUAGUAGCUUGUUUCUGGUUUCUUCCGAAGUUUUUCUCAGGAUAACUGGAGUUCCAUUAGUUUUAUCAGGUAUAGCGAAUGAUUAGAGGCCUCGGUAGCGCGUUGUCCUCGACCUGUUCUCAAACUUUAGAUGGGUAAGAUCCAAUGGUCACUUCAUUGAACUGCUGGGGUUUAUAUGAACUCCAAGUGGGGCAUUUUUGGUAAGCAGAACUGGCGACGACCGGUGCUACUAACGCUUGGGUUCAGGGCAUUUUUGUGCUGUGAUAUGCUUUUGCAAAUCCGAAUGUAAUAUCAGAAGCGAUGCCAGUGGACCAAGGUCGAUGUUGCGUGACUGCAGUU